CACAGGCGAAGAGAACGAAGAAGGUUGGAAUCGUCGGCAAAUACGG
rnacentral:sRNA from 1 species